rnacentral:rRNA from 1 species
UACGGAGGAUCCAAGCGUUAUCCGGAUUCAUUGGGUUUAAAGGGUGCGUAGGCGGAAUGAUAAGUCAGUGGUGAAAGCCUGCAGCUUAACUGCAGAACUGCCAUUGAUACUGUCAAUCUUGAGUACAUUUUGAUGUGGGCGGAAUGUGUCAUGUAGCGGUGAAAUGCUUAGAUAUGACACAGAACACCGAUUGCGAAGGCAGCUCACAAA